GGGGGAGGGGGGAGAUCAGUAAGCCCAGGUAGAGGGAGAGGGGGGAGAUCAGUAAGCCCAGGUAGAGGGGGAGGGGGGAGAUCAGUAAGCCCAGGUAGAGGGAGAGGGGGGAGAUCAGUAAGCCCAGGUAGAGGGAGAGGGGGGAGAUCAGUAAGCCCAGGAAUGCCUCGGUAUUCCCCAGGAGGAACUGGAGGUGGCAGCUGGGGAGAGAGAGCUCUGGGCUUUGUCUGCUGCCCCUGCAACACAACCCUAGAUAUAUGGUGGAAAAUGGAUGGAUGGAUGGAUGGAUGGAUGGAUGGAUGGAUAGAUGGACUGCUGGAAGCAGUUGUGUAGCUCCUGCUCAAACACGACUUGCAGUUGUACCUGGGCCUAGCGGCACUUAAUCUCACUCCACACAGCACAUAUGUCUGCAAUGUGCCAUUUUCCUCACUUGUAUGUCGCUUUGAACAAAGGUGUCAGCCAGACGAAUAUAAAUGCACCAUCUCUCACUGGCACUUUACCGUAUUAAGGAUGGAUCUGCAUAAUCACAGGCAGCUCAGCUACAAUAAGGCCGCUGCCUGAAGCGGCCCUUUCAGGCAAGCCAAGUCCUGCAGACUUGGUCUUUCUAGAUGGUGCCUAUAAAGUGAUUUAAUCACUGUAAUAAUGCCAAAAGAGCAGAGGACACACAAGCUGGUAGAAAUUUACUGAAGUGGAAGCGCAUAACAUCACACGCUGUGUGUAAGUUACAGCUGAUAACCUAUUUCUGGUCAAGUCUGUAGUUUGCGAUAAUCACACCCAUAGAGACUGAGGGACGCUCUCAGCUUUUUUGGAAGUUUGAUUGUUUUAUUGUAUUGAUAGUUUUUUUUUGUAUCAUGCAAUUGCAAAUGCAGCGAUAAUCACACGUUUUUCAUCUUGGCUAUGGUAUAUGCUAUGUGUGCCCCCUCAAAAACACCCCUGGGGGGAAGAGUCAUAGUGGACAGCGGGACAAAAAUUUGCAGUUAAUUUAUGAUGCAUGUCGAUGGGUCACCAGCAGAGAGAGAAGUGCAAGGUUAACAAUGUCACUGGUUCAGCUUAAGUGGCCUAGAACAUAUCAGCUAUUAGCAUGAUUAAUCACAACAGGAACCACAAAUUCAUGACAGUGGCUUUCUAAGGCGGUUAGGUUUAUUAAAGGUAAAUAUCCACUAAGGAAGUAUCUAAUGCAAACAACACAAAACUGUACCAGACAUAUUAGGUUUUGGGGUCCCUUCACAGAACAUCCUUCCAUUUUCUGACAGUGUGCAGUAACAGUGCUAACAACUGCACCGCCAUGCAUCCCCUCACAAAACAUCACUCCGGGAAUUUGACAGUGUCACCAGGAUUAAAGCACGGAAGCAUCUCCGCAAACACCAUGUGAGAUAGAAAAAGACAAAAAUCGCUAGCAAAGGCAGCAGGAACCUGCCCUGUGAAAACAGAGCAGGCCAUCUUACAUUCCAAAGCCAGAACGUUCUGGUUACUGGGAAUAGUGCAAGCACCGGCAUGAAACGCUACCUAUCACUGCAGUGGUUUUGUCCUCGGAUUUGGGGAACAAAGAUGCCGGUUCAGCCUGUGUAUAAAUGCUCCUUUGUUCAGCGGCAUUUCCCCGCGAGCCGGAAGCCGGCACCAUAGUGUCCGGCAGGGAAAUGGGGUCCAGUGGACGUGUCACGUUUAUCUCGGGGACACGGCUGGCCUUCCUCUGCCCCCUGAAGGGACGUGUUCCCCCCCAAUUGAUUCAGGAGCUGCAGCCACACGCAACAGCUCCAUUGGCCUGAAGAAGCAAAAAAUAUUCUAGAAGCGACAACAUCAGGAAGGAAGCUGUCAGCAAAGUGCCAACAGGAGUACAAGCAGGAGGAGAUGCUCAUCACGUAGCUUUGGGAAGCAUCGUUCUGAGAUGAUCGAAUCAUGACCCAAAUCUGUUUUAGGGUGACACAGGAGAGCAUACAGAGGCAGGGCCACAGCAGCACUGAAGAAUGCUGAUUGGCCCUUAAACCCUGUCACUCACCCAUUCAAAACAUAUCAUUGGUUGAUAUGGUUUGCCCAUUUAUAUGAGUUAUAGCCCCUCUUAUAGCCCCCAUCUUCAAAAAAAAUUUUCGAGAAUUGCCCCUGUGAUGGAAUAACUUAACUGAGAGCCCCCUUUGAAUGCCGCAUGCCUUAUAAGUGAAAAUUCAACCGUAUUGAACAGCUAGUGAAAGACAAGAGCACAUGGGUACUUCUAUGAAGCCCACUGCUUGCCGUGGUGCUUUACGUGUUUGUAGGACGUGCUAGUGCAGAGAGUCCUACGGAGAAUAAACAUGUUUAAAACAAACAAACCCCGCUCAAUUUUACAUACGGCCGAGGAUAGCUAUAAAGCACAAUCUCUAAUCCACAUAGUGACUGGGUUUGAAUUUCAGAGGCUGCAUCCUUCUAGGUUGCAUUCGCAGACUGAAUGCAUCACAGCGGUGCAAGAAGGAUGUCCUAUUCCGAAGGCUCCUUCAAGUGCAGCCUAGAAAUGCGUUAUUCUUUUGCCAAGAUCCCAAGAUUCAUUGUGCCUUCGAAGAACACAGCCAACAAAGGCUACAAAGACCACAUCCUUCCGAAGAACACAGCCAACAAAGGCUACACAGACCACAUCCUUUCGAAGAACACAGCCAACAAAGACUACAUCCUUUGAAGAACACAGCCAACAAAGACUACAAAGACCACAUCCUUUCGAAGAACACAGCCAACAAAGGCUACAAAGACCACAUCCUUCGAAGAACACAGCCAACAAAGGCUACAAAGACCACAUCCUUCUGAAGAACACAGCCAACAAAGGCUACAAAGACCACAUCCUUCGAAGAACACAGCCAACAAAGGCUACACAGACCACAUCCUUCUGAAGAACACAGCCAACAAAGGCUACACAGACCACAUCCUUCGAAGGAUGCAGCCCCUGAUUUCAGACACAGCCAGAAUUGGCAUGGAGA